UGAUGUGAGGGCAAUCUGGCUGCGACAUCUGUGACCCCAUUGAUCGCCAGGGUUGAUUUGGCUGAUCUGGCUGGCUAGGCGGGUGUUCCUUUCCUCCCUCACUGCUCCAUGUGUGUCCCUCCCGAAGCUUUGAGCUGGGUCAAAGAGGAGGACCAUAUCCAAUAGAGGAGGCCCGUCUUCGGUCAAGGGUAUAUGAAUAGCUGCACUCCCCUGCAAGAACCCCCAAACAAGUUCUCAAGUACUAACCUCCAGUGCCUGUGAAUGCUGACCUUAUUUUGAAGUAGAAUCUUUGCAGAUAUAAUUAGUUUGUAUGAUGUCAUACUGGAUU
rnacentral:snRNA from 1 species